GGUUAAGCGACUAAGCGUACACGGUGGAUGCCCUGGCAGUCAGAGGCGAUGAAGGGCGUGCUAAUCUGCGAUAAGCGCCGGUAAGGUGAUAUGAACCGUUAUAACCGGCGAUACCCGAAUGGGGAAACCCAGUGUGAUUCGUCACACUAUCAUUAACUGAAUCCAUAGGUUAAUGAGGCGAACCGGGGGAACUGAAACAUCUAAGUACCCCGAGGAAAAGAAAUCAACCGAGAUUCCCCCAGUAGCGGCGAGCGAACGGGGAGGAGCCCAGAGCCUGAAUCAGCAUGUGUGUUAGUGGAAGCGUCUGGAAAGGCGCGCGAUACAGGGUGACAGCCCCGUACACAAAAGCGUAUGUGCUGUGAGCUCGAUGAGUAGGGCGGGACACGUGGUAUCCUGUCUGAAUAUGGGGGGACCAUCCUCCAAGGCUAAAUACUCCUGACUGACCGAUAGUGAACCAGUACCGUGAGGGAAAGGCGAAAAGAACCCCGGCGAGGGGAGUGAAAAAGAACCUGAAACCGUGUACGUACAAGCAGUGGGAGCACCCUUUGGGGUGUGACUGCGUACCUUUUGUAUAAUGGGUCAGCGACUUAUAUUCUGUAGCAAGGUUAACCGAAUAGGGGAGCCGGAGGGAAACCGAGUCUUAAUUGGGCGUUAAGUUGCAGGGUAUAGACCCGAAACCCGGUGAUCUAGCCAUGGGCAGGUUGAAGGUUGGGUAACACUAACUGGAGGACCGAACCGACUAAUGU
rnacentral:rRNA from 1 species